rnacentral:rRNA from 1 species
GACGAACGCUGGCGGCGUGCCUAAUACAUGCAAGUUGAGCGCUGAAGGUUGGUACUUGUACCAACUGGAUGAGCAGCGAACGGGUGAGUAACGCGUGGGGAAUCUGCCUUUGAGCGGGGGACAACAUUUGGAAACGAAUGCUAAUACCGCAUAAAAACUUUAAACACAAGUUUUAAGUUUGAAAGAUGCAAUUGCAUCACUCAAAGAUGAUCCCGCGUUGUAUUAGCUAGUUGGUGAGGUAAAGGCUCACCAAGGCGAUGAUACAUAGCCGACCUGAGAGGGUGAUCGGCCACAUUGGGACUGAGACACGGCCCAAACGCCUACAGGUAGCAGCAGUAGGGAAUCUUCGGCAAUGGACGAAAGUCUGACCGGGCAACGCCGCGGGAGUGAAGAAGGUUUUCGGAUCGUAAAACUCUGUUGGUAGAGAAGAACGUUGGUGAGAGUGGAAAGCUCAUCAAGUGACGGUAACUACCCAGAAAGGGACGGCUAACUACGUG